rnacentral:lncRNA from 1 species
GGAGGCAGCCUGGGACCGGCCCACGGAGUUGCAGCCGCCCAUCGCUCCCUCCUUGCGGACAUCAUGCUCCAGUUCCUGAUACCAAACCUGGCUAAAAAACUUGAAGACAUUAAAAAGGACCUGGAUGCCAAGAAGAAACCCCCUAGUUCAUGAGGCCGACUCCAGCCCUGCCUUCUGGAUUCUACUAUUGUCGAGGGCCUCCUUUACUCUGAACCAAAAGCUUUUGUUUUAAUUUCCAGCCUCAGCAGUUUUCUUCAUUGUGUUGCCUUAGAGCACAAAUGGGGCCACAAGUUAAGAACUACCCUUAAUUUUCCAACAGCAUCACUUCUUCCCUUGCUCCUUCCAGCCACUUGGGAGGCCCUGAAACUGGAAUUAUGGUGCUAGAUUAGUAAACAUGACCUUUAAUUAGUAGUCUCUCCCUUUUUCUUUGGAAUUUCUAUUACCUUUUUUCAAAAGAAAAAUUGAUGAAUUUUGUAUAGCAGAUGAGAUAUAAAUAAUGCUGAUUUCACAUUCUAGCAAUUAUAUAAAGAGUAUUUAAACAUUUGGUACUUAAUUAUGUUAUUUCAAAAUAGUAGUUAAAAUCAAGAAGCCAGUUCCUGGUGAAUUAUCCAUUGUUGUCAGGAAGCUGCAUAGUUGCUAUUGUAACCACUAUAUCAAUUUGCUAUUCAUUAACCAAGAAACAGUGUUCUGAGAACCCUGAGAACUUACAAAUAUUUAAAAUAAUGGCCGUUGUCCUCAAUAGUAUUCCUAGUCUAAUAUUCAUGUUGUUUUUUAAUGAUGUGUUUGAUCUGGUUCUUUUCCCUCGUAAGAAUCAUACUUUAUGGGAUAACAGGUGCAUGUGACAUUACCUGGUGGAUAAAUGAGAAGUUGAUUAUAAAGGAAGUUUUAUGCCUUUUUAUAUUUAAAAAAUAUGUUUACAUUAUAACUUUAUAGUGAGCCCCUGAGUGAGUGGGUUAAGGAUCUGGCAUUGCUCAGUCUCAUAGGAAGCCUUUUUGUGUUUUUUUCCUGCAAUCAGAAAUUGCUCUCUUAGUUUGUCAAAUGUAUAAUCAGUCCACAUUUUUUUAAGUGAAAAAAAUUUAAAUAGGUAACUUCCCCUUGGGUCAGUACAAAAGUGAUUUAGAAUUAAGGACUUCUCCCACCCCUGUCCUGCAGCUCCUAGUUCCUCUUCCUGGAGUCAGGCACUGUUGCCAGUUUUUUUGAAAAAGAUUCUGUCCCUAAACAAACAUGUUCAUGAGGGUUUUUAUACAAAUAAUAACAAGCUAUAUACAGAAUUUUCCUCAGUGGAGAUCAUUCCAUAUCCAUAUGUAAGGAACAAAAAACCUCUUCCCCUUUUGUGACUGCAUAAGGUUCUGUUGAAUGAAUAUGCUGCAGUUGAUUUAGUCAGCUCCUGGUGAACAUUUAGGUUGUUUCCUGUCUUUUGUUAUUAUGGUGAUAACCUUAAACCUAAUAUUGUUAUGCAUAUCUAUGCCAGGGAUAGCGCCAAGCUAAAGCCCUAGAAGUGUAGUUUACCCUGUAGUUUCUAGGGCUUUACCAAGCUAAAGCCCUCAAAGUAUAGUUUGUUGGGUAUCAGCUUCACUGAUAAUGCCAUUCCUGGAAACAUUUUAGCAGAAUCAGUAAACUGGAAGGAUGAUUUAGAGACACCUUUUUUUCAGACACUGAUGGCACUGACAGUAAAUGUGAUUAUACAGUGAGGUGAUUCUACUUUUCUUUGAAAAUGUGGAUCUUUCAAACAUGGAGAUACAUUUUGUCCCUGUCAGGUUGUCCUGGUUCAUGAGACAAAUUAGGACCUUAUUAUAGUUUGUCUUCUCCUCAGACAGAGUGUGAUCAGGGGCAAGUGGCUUAUUUCUCCAAAACUGUUGUUUUCUCUUUAAGAUGUGGAUGCAGUACCUACCUCAUAGGGCUUCCAUGAGAAACUGUUGAGAUAACAUACGUGGUGUGUAGCACAGUGCUUUGCAGAUUGUCCAAUAAAUAGUAGAUAUUAGUUGGAACGUGCUGCCUUUGGUUAGAAUACUUUUUUCUGCACUCACUUCUGGAACCAGUUUAUGAACCAUGCAAAAUGUGUCAUUCUCUUUGUAAAAUGAAAAUCUAUAGUAUCCACUGUGAUCAUACCACCUGGCUUACCAGGUUUGAUCUUAAAUGACUGAAUUGUUAGCAGAAUGAACUACAGCCUUGAAGGAUAAUGGUUUACCAUCUUGAUAGGUAUUCAAACUUUCACAAGCUUAGAAAGCUGUUUUCAAAGAGGGAUUCAUUGUUAUCAGCCAUGGAGCCUUGAUGCUUGUGUGUGUAUGGUCUCCCAGGUGGCUUCUUUGGGGAUGUGAGUCACUUAGAUGUUGCAUGAUGAGGUCUCUAUAAUUGUACUUGUAAAUGAGGCACGAUUGGACUUGGAGCUUCCCCUCGGGAGUGACACUUAACCUUGCUGACGGGAUCAUCUCCACCAGUGGGAGCCACCCAGCUAAUCACCUUAAACGUGUGAACAGCAACACAAAGAGUGCAGGCCAACUUCAUGGUCACCAUUCAGAUUCCCUCUCCCAUUUCAGGCUCUUGCAGGAGUGAAAGGGAUCUGGAGUUCUCAGGCAGGAUUAUCUUCACGGAGACAUAUUGUUGGGGGACCUAGAACCAUUAUGGGUUUUAGGCGGUGUGGUGGUUGUGAUCGUGGUACUCAAAGUUAACAUUCUCUGGGUGUUUUGUAGAGGUCCCUGCAGAGGGGUGGGAAGAACUACUGCAAGACAUGCCUUUUUUUUUUUUCCUUUAAAAAAAUCUUGAGGAGUUCCUGUUGUGGGACAGUGGAAAUGAAUGCGACUAGUAUCCAUGAGGAUGCGGGUUUGAUCCUUGGCCUCCCUCAAUGGGUUAAGGAUCUGACAUUGCUGUGGGCUAUGGUGUGGGUUGCAGAUGUGGCUCGGACCCACAUAGGCCAGCAGCUGCAGCUCCUAGUGGACCCCCAGCCUGGGAACUUCCAUAUGCUG